rnacentral:rRNA from 1 species
UACGAAGGGGGCUAGCGUUGCUCGGAAUUACUGGGCGGAAAGCGCACGUAGGCGGCUUUCUAAGUCGGGGGUGAAAUCCUGGAGCUCAACUCCAGAACUGCCUUCGAUACUGGAAAGCUCGAGUCCGGGAGAGGUGAGUGGAACUGCGAGUGUAGAGGUGAAAUUCGUAGAUAUUCGCAAGAACACCAGUGGCGAAGGCGGCUCACUGGCCCGGUACUGACGCUGAGGUGCGAAAGCGUGGGGAGCAAACAGG